AUGAUGAUAGCCAAGAAACUCGUCAUCAGAACAAACCACCGGGCCCAGGAGGCCAACAUAACCAGACCCGCCCACCUUUCCCUGGAAACCAAGGUGGACCACCACAGGGAGGCCAGCAGAAUUCUACUCGCCCACCUCACCCUGGAAACCAAGGUGGCCCACCACAGGGAGGCCAGCAGAAUUCUACUCGCCCACCUCGCCCUGGAAACCAGCAGCGACCACCUCAACACGGAGGCCAACAGAACAACACUAGCCAAGGAAACCAACAGGGAGGCCCACAGGGAGGACCCCAGCAGGGAGGACAAAAACAGGGAGGACCCCAACAGGGAGGCCCACAGGGAGGACCCCAGCAGGGAGGCCCACAGGGAGGACCCCAGCAGGGAGGACAACAACAGCAAGGACCCCAAAAGGGAGGCCCACGGGGAGGACCUCAACAGGGAGGCCCACAGGGUGGACCCCAACAGAGAGGGUCACAGGGAGGACCAAAAAGGGAGGCCCACGGGGAGGACCCCAGCAGGGAGGCCCGCAGCAGGGUCCACAACCACGUUUUCAAGGAAACAGACCACAAGGCCCUCCCCAAGGACAACCACCACAAUAAUCCACAGUCAAUCACAGAAAGUGAAUAAGAACAUAAUGUCCCUCAAGUAUCCAAGACACUAGAACAACAAUGUCAUAACCCUAUUUUCCAUAUGCCAAUAAAAUAAUCAGCAUGCACUUUCUGAUUGUCCUC
rnacentral:lncRNA from 1 species